UCCUAAGAUAGCCACAGUUGGUCUAG
rnacentral:piRNA from 1 species